rnacentral:lncRNA from 1 species
UCCAAAAUCACAAACUCGAAAAUAAUUCUAUUUCAACUGAUAUCCGUAUAAAUACACUCAACAAACAAUAAAACCAAUUCUCACCAUCAAGCUACAUAUAUGGCCUCCCUAUUUCCUCCAUUUCACGGGAAAAAAAAAUACAACUCUAACGAAAUUAUCAUUGCCGCCCAACAAAUAUACCUUAACGACAAUUGAGCCAAUAGGAAAAUGACAAAAAUCUUAGGGAAAAAAAGAAAAGGAAUCAAAUUUCGCUCUCCGGGAGAUUUUCAAGUGACGGCAACCGGCUGUCGCUUGGGAGGUUCGAUAUUCUUAUUCUUGCGAUUGGAAUCGGCGAAAUCUUCCGUAUUAUAGAUGACAGUGAUGUAAAGAGAACAGCUAGGGCACCGAGCGAUUUCUUCGCCCAAACGGAGUUCUUUCUUGGUGAUCUGGAAGAGGUCUCCGCAGGGGCAGGGAUACGUGAAGGCCUGGAGCUUCUCGUUCCAUUCCAUGUCCUCAAUCUCUACGUCGUCGUACGACAUCUGAUCUCUCGCUGAUUUCAAGUUCUGCCGCAAUGUUUUAAAACUCGGACCGUUAAUUGAACCGGUGAAGUGAAAGGGUCGAAGUUCAACCGGUCGGACCGAUUCAACUCCGGUUCAAUAAAUAAUAUAUAUAUAUAUAUAGACACACACAUACCUGUGCACAGAAUAAGAUAUAAAUGCUAAACCACAAUUAACAUAAGAAAACUCCAUAAUUAACAACUUUGAUCGGAGGUCUUCCUUAGUUUUGAUGUGUCAAUAUUUUGGACUGACCUCACAUAAUAGAAAACUCCAUUUCAUAACUUUAACUUAUCCAAAGUUGCAUCUUGCCUUCGUUUACUUAAAAUAAUUUCUAUAGGCUAUGUAUAACUUUAAGAAGCAAAAUGUCCUAUCCACACUGGAUAAACCUUCUGUUGAGUGAUGUAGCUAUCCAAGAAUGGUGCACUAAGUAGGUAUCAAAUAGCAUUUUCUUCCUUUCAAAUGAUUCAGGAAAAUUCCAACAACCAGAAAAUGAUUAUAUUCUGAUAAGUGGACUUCAGCCACCAAGUACAAAUGCAUAAACAAGUCAUUUAACUUGUUUGUCGGCAUGCUGAACAUGCUAACCAACAUUUCCGCAGUUGCUGUACUAGAGACAGCCCAGCCAUUUAGAGAAAUCCAAUUAAACUAAGGUGUUUAAAUUAUCUCUUGCCUGAUUCUACAGCUAGUUCGCCAUUCUGAAGUUGUCUCACAAAUGCUAUUCCCCAUCAAAAUUAAAGGAAAUACAUGAAACACAGAACUGUAUCUGAACACACAUUCUUUUUGUGCAAUUUUCUUCCUAGUAAACUUUCAGUUGCUGCACAGAUUUUUUUUCCCUCAGCCAAGGGUCCAUUUUCCUAGCUAAAUUCAUAGGCAGCUUAAGUAUCAUGUAUAUUAGACGCGUAAGAGGUUAUUACAGAAUUUUACCUUCCCUUUUCCUCCUAGAAUUUGAAAGUUGCAGCCUGCACUUUUAGUUCCUGCUUCAGUUCUUCCUAAGCCGCACCAGUCACUCAUUUUUUCCUCACUUUUGGCUCACAGUUUCCAGGUUACAAGCGAGAGAAAUAAAGCUAGCAAAUUUUUAAUUCUCUCCCUCACUCUCUCGGUUGCAAACUGGAAGCAAGGAGGAAUCAGAAAUGUUUUCUUUCUUCUUCAAUUUUAUGUUCCAGCUAAGCAUUAUAAUUGCUACAAUCUUCAAGCCAGGCAACAGAGCCAACUAACGAGUAAAAAAAAAAAUUUGCAGGACAAACAGACUUAUCUAAUUUGAGGACAAACCAGAUCUUUUGUGAAGAAUGGAGUGAAGACUUCCCUCCCUUCCGCCCCGCCUCUCCACAAUGAAACUGCCGCCGUUGCGGCCCCUGCCGCAAAUGAAGCUGCCCACGCAACCGACAAAAAUCUCCAGCAACACCUUCGAAUCGGCUGUGAAGUUGGGGGAUUUGGAAGGAGCCGGGCGCUAUGGAGCAAAUGCAGCGGAUGAGAAAAUUGUGAAGAUUGAAGACUGAAGACUUGAGAGAAGACUAGGAGCAACAAAAAUCUCCAGCAACACCUUCGAAUCGGCUGUGAAGUUGGGGGAUUUGGAAGGAGCCCGGCGCUAUGGAGCAAAUGCGGCGGAUGAGAAAAUUGUGAAGAUUGAAGACUGAAGACUUGAGAGAAGACUAGGUUUAAUUCUUAAUUUCGGUCAAAAUUCAGUCAAUAUUGUGAAAAAUUUAAAAACUGCGGUUCACGGUUCAAUCCGAAUUUAACGGUUUGAACGGUUUUUUAUGGUUUUGACCGGUUCUAGGACAAAAUCAAUACAAGCUAUGAACCGGACCGGACACAUGGCCGGUUCAUGGUUCGACCAGUCGAACCGGCCGGUCCGGUCCGGUUUUGAAAACAUUUCUGGACUAUAGCUGCUUCUCUGAACAGAGUUAGGGUUUUGCGCAGCCUCACUCAGGUUGUUGCCCGGCUGGUGGAGGUGGCGUCUAUUAAAGUUAGGGCUCCUUGAGCCGCCUUCCACGAAUUGAGCAAAUCAGGGUCUUAAAAGGAUUAUCUGAAUUUUAGAAUACCAAAUAACUCCCAAAGCAGAGGAGGAAAAAAAGUGCAAGACACUUAAAUCAAUAGAUUUUAUGUAGUCUGCGAUCCUAUUUGAUACAAUAGGAAAUACACAUUGUUUUUCCAAUCCGCACAACCAUUAUUUAAUGUUCAACCAAUGUAAGGCUCCUAAUAGUACAUAGAAAUUAACUCCUAGUACCAUAUUGGAUUACCAAUCAGUAAUAUAUGAUAAAGAUGUUCACCGGGAUGACCAUUUAGAAUGGAGGUCGGUGAUCAUCUCCACUGGCACACACAACAGGUUUCUAAAUAUCAGAACAAAUGUAUCCAGCUAGUCCAAUCUUUGAAUUUACAAAACUACAGCAUACAACUUUGAUACUCCACAAAAGAAGAGAAGUCUCAACACUAUUAUUAAGCACACUUGACAUCUCUUUAGCUCAGGAAAUUUUUUGAUGCAGGAUCCAGCACACAUGCAAGCAAAAUUUUAUAUUCUGCCUGGUUUGGGACAAAUCUGAUUAGACCAAAAAAUUUUUGAAUUAUUUAAAUUUCACAUUAAUAGUUGUCCAGUUGGGAAGACGGAGGAGCCAAGGAGUAAUCAUUUGAAAUUCUUUGUUUUUGCAACCUUAAAUUUAAAUUAGGUUUUAAAUAGGAAACUUUAUGUUAUCAUCUUAACAACUAACAUACAAACCUUAAGAGAGGCCACAAAAGAUUCAUAAUGAUUUAAAAAUUGUGAACUACCUUAGAGGCCAGAUAAUUUCCUUGCAUAUGAAAUUUCACCUUUAAGUCGAUCUCUUUAUUCCUGUUGAGACUUUUGGGAUAAUCAAAGCACUUCAACCAAAUGUAUAGCCUACAAAUCUGAUGCACGAGACAUGAACGCAAAUAUUAAGAGCUACAAUAAGUUUGAAAAAUACUGCUGUCUUAUGAAGUGUCGAGUAGUUUAAUUGAACAUGCAAAAAGUAAGGAAAGUUUCUUUAUUAAAAAAAGGGCAUGUCAUUAAACAUCCUAUGCAUUUUUUAUAUCUUUUGAGAGGUUAAUAGCAAAAUGAAUCUUCCAUAGUAAGGAAAGCUGAAAACAAAAGUGAAGCCAUACAAAAAUACUAAGGUGCCAUUUUGUUAGUGUAGAGAGAAAAUUGUUGAAAAAACUUAAUUAGUGUCACAAAUCCCACUCAAACCUCCCAAAUAUAGAUAAAAAUCAUAGAACAACAAAGAAGCAUGCCAAGAACCAUAGAGUACCAGGAGCUAGUAAUUGCUCUUAAAAAAUAAUUGAUCCUCUAAAAUAUUUCAAACAGUAAUAUCAUCAACAUAACAUUCUUACUUAUCCCCUUUGGCAGUUGCUCAUUGUCAAGAUCAAAUGUAAAGGUCUUUCUUUUGAAGAAUAUCUAUCAGUUAAAGUUGAGGCCAUGCAUUUCCUUAGAUAUGAAUGGAGGCAUAAACUUUUGAUAGCCACCAACAAACAUCAACAUUUUUGUCUUUUGUUCAAGCAACCUCACAAUUCAAUGCAUGUUUGAUGCUAGAAAAGUUCUACAUCAUUAUGAAAUAAAGCCAAUGAAAGCAGGAAAAAAUUAAAAAUGCCCAAAGACAUACCAAGAUAUUCAAAGCAAAGGAACCAUUUUGCAGCUAGACAGAUGGAAGAUGAGCCUGAAAACUGAGUACUUGAUUAGCUGCUAUUCAGAACCUCUACAAAUACAGAAGCAAUAGUGCAAGUAGUUAAUAUCACUCCACACUUAUAACUACAACUGCUACUAUUAUUUCAGCUAGAGAACUAAAGAAGGAAUUUUGUUUGUCCCUCCAAGAAUAAGAUCAAUCAAGUGGAUUUGCGUAUAUCCCACAACUGUGAAGACAUAGGUCAGAGGCGGCAUAUCCAUCCUAUCAUACGAGUCAAUAGCUCCAAGAAGCACAUCAGAAUCUCACAAUCAUUGGCGCUCUUUAACAAUGAUGCAUAGGGCACGAAAACUAUAUAUAUAUGUGGAAUAACUAAAACUUUAAGCUUGGCAGUGAGGCGUUUUCAUAGUAAAAUGCAUUGCUAGUUCGCCCAUGAAUAGAUUAACUAAUUAGUAGUGCUAAUUAAAAAGCACCUUGUCAAUGUAAAACCCCUGGUAGAGCGCGUGGUUUUUACACUGUUUUUUUCGAAAAAUCCCAAUAAAUCUUCAUCUUUCUCCAUGUUUCUAUAAUUAUUUGCACAAAACUUAUUGUAUCUUUGGCGCAAAUUAAAGCAUCACAGGAACAAAAAAAUUUUGUCCAAAAAUGACAUAUUAGCAAAGUCUGAUAUCAGAGCAAACUUUUUUGUUGUUCAAAAUCCAAGGAACACAAAUUUAUCCAUUGAUUAGCAAAUUAAAGACUAAAAGAAACUCAAAACCUGGCAGCAACUUCUGAGGAUUUGCAGUGAAGUUCAUUACUUGGACCGUGUACACUGAGCAAAAAGGAACACCAAAAUAAUUCUGACAAUUGUAGCGGGAAGCAAAGAGACCAAAAGCAGGGAAAAUAGAGACAAUGGAAGACAUGAGACUAACCAGAAUCAUCUUCUUGGACUCGGAAACAGUCUGCAAUCACAAAAAAAUAGGUCAAGUUCAGAUAAGGAGAAAACAACAUGAACAAAAAAUUUAAUGAAAGAAAAAUCUCAAAAUGUUUAGAUUCAAAACCUAAAGUGAUUUCAGAUUUGUCUCUCCUACUUCCUCAUCACAUAGAUAGAUAGAAGAAGAGGAGGAUUUUGACCCAAAAAAAUAAAGACAAGAGAGAAGAAGAGGAGAGAACCUUCGAGCAAUUCUUUUUUCUCCGUUACCGUUUGUUCUCGGCUAGAUAGGGAGAUAAAAAUGAUGAAGCAGCCGUCCGGUUCGAAUGUCCCUUUGAUGGUCAGUUCAGUUGGCUAGGUGUUGGGUCCAGGAGUGGGGUGGGUGUUGGGUCCAAGAGGUCAGUUUUGGACUCCUUCAUGGACCAUUUAAACUCGUUCAAUUAUGGUGGUUUCAUUCCCAGUUCCCACCUCAAAAAAUGGGUUCAAUCUGAAUUUGAAUAGAUGGAAUUGAUUGCAUGUUACAGCCUCAAAAAAUUUGCUCUCCUCUUUCGUUGGAUGAUGCUAUGGUAGUUUUAUUCCCAGUUCCCACCUGUGACUAUGAUUAUCGAUUCGGUUUCUUCUUCUUAGUUAAUGCAUCUGUACCCUGAUUCAAGAAUCAGAAUUGGUCUUCCUCAUUCGAAAUCAGGUAGAGAUCAUAUCAAGCAUUUUAGAAUGCAGUAGAUUGCUCGAAAAAAGGGGUAGAAAGAAACCUGUUAAAAAAGGUACAGCAGAUUGAGAAUCAUAGGGCUUGAUCACAAUAUUGAACAUGCUAAACUUCCAAAAUCACAAACUCGAAAAUAAUUCUAUUUCAAUUGAUAUCCAUAAAAAUACACUCAACAGACAAUAAAACCAAUUCUCUCCAUCAAGCUACAAUACAUAUAUAUAGGCCAAUAGGAAAAUGACAAAAAUCUUAGGGAAAAAAAAGAAAAGGAAUCAAAAUUCCCUCUCCGGGAGAUUUUCAAGCGACGGCAACCGGCUGUCGCUUGGGAGGUUCGAUAUUCUUAUUCUUGCGAUUGGAAUCGGCGAAAUCUUCCGUAUUAUAGAUGACGGUGAUGUAAAGAGAACAGCUAGGGCACCGAGCGAUCUCUUCGCCCAGACGGAGUUCUUCCCUGGUGAUCUGGAAGAGGUCUCCGCAGGGGCAGGGAUACGUGAAGGCCUGGAGCUCCUCGUUCCAUUCCAUGUCCUCAAUCUCUACGUCGUCGUACGACAUCUGAUCUCUCGCUGUUUUCAAGUCCUGGACUAUAGCUGCUUCUUUGAACAGAGUUAGGGUUUUGGGCAGCCUCGGUCAGGGGGUUGCCCGGCUGGCGGAGG